UACCAGCACCCCGAGUGGUCGGGACGAUUAUUGGGCCUAAAGCAUCCGUAGCUGGUCAUGCAAGUCCUCCGUUAAAUCCACCUGCUUAACAGAUGGGCUGCGGAGGAUACUACAAGGCUAGGAGGCGGAAGAGGCAAGCGGUACUCAGUGGGUAGGGGUAAAAUCCUCUGAUCCAUUGAAGACCACCAGUGGCGAAGGCGGCUUGCCAAUACGCGCUCGACGGUGAGGGAUGAAAGCUGGGGGAGCAAACGGG
rnacentral:rRNA from 1 species